GAGCCGGCAACCAUGCAGGUGAGGACCACGAAGAGCGUGAUCCUCGGUUCUUUGUCGGCGGCAGCGUUCUGUAGCUUGGCUGCCAUAGCUGCGCUCGUUCCUGGCUUGGGAGUAAAUGAAGACCAGCUGCCUUAUAUAACGAUCUGAAUUGGUACUUGGCAAUCACAGAUGUAUUCUUAUUGUAGGUUGCAAAGCCUUAGAAUGAUUCAGUAUAUAUCAAAUUACUACCGCACGUCUAACAUUUCCAAGUGAUCCUCAUGAUAUUUUGGCAUGCAAUGGUAAGUAUGAAUGUAUAUAUAAAGAAUAAUCAAUUUUAUCAGACUAUUUGGGAUUAAUAGAUAUUGUUGGAUCUAGAUUUGUUCA